rnacentral:rRNA from 1 species
GAUGAACGCUGACAGAAUGCUUAACACAUGCAAGUCGAACGGGGUAUUUCUUCGGAGAUACUUAGUGGCGAACGGGUGAGUAACGCGUGAGAAACCUGCCUUUCAGUGGGGGACAACAGUUGGAAACGACUGCUAAUACCGCAUAACACUUUAGUACCGCAUGGUACAGAAGUCAAAGCUUAAUGUGCUGAAAGAUGGUCUCGCGUCUGAUUAGCUAGAUGGCGGGGUAACGGCCCACCAUGGCGACGAUCAGUAGCCGGUCUGAGAGGAUGAACGGCCACAUUGGGACUGAGACACGGCCCAG